rnacentral:rRNA from 1 species
GACGAACGCUGGCGGCGUGCUUAACACAUGCAAGUCGAACGGGCCUGUCUUCUUUUUUGGGGGUGGGUUGAGUGGCGAACGGGUGAGUAUCACGUGAGUAACCUGCCCUUCGGUCCUGGAUAACCGCUUGAAAGGGCGGCUAAUACGGGGUGGUCCGGUUGGUCCGCAUGGGCUGGUCGGGAUAGAUUCACUGUUUUUGGUGUUUCGGCGGGGGAUGGGCUCGCGGCCUAUCAGCUUGUUGGUGGGGUGAUGGCCUACCAAGGCGGUGAGGGGUAGCCGGCCUGAGGGGGUGGGCGGCCACACUGGGACUGAGAUACGGCCCAGACUCCUGCGGGAGGCAGCAGUGGGGGGUAUUGCACAAUGGGCGGAAGCCUGAUGCAGCGACGUCGCGUGAGGGAUGGAGGCCUUCGGGUUGUGAACCUCUGUUUCCGGUGGUGAAGGCCCUGUCCGUGUGGUGGGGUUGACGGUAGCCGGGGAUGAAGCGCCGGCUAACUACGU